rnacentral:rRNA from 1 species
GAUGAACGCUGGCGGCGUGCCUAAUACAUGCAAGUCGAGCGAACAGAUGAGGAGCUUGCUCCUCUGACGUUAGCGGCGGACGGGUGAGUAACACGUGGAUAACCUACCUAUAAGACUGGGAUAACUUCGGGAAACCGGAGCUAAUACCGGAUAAUAUAUUGAACCGCAUGGUUCAAUAGUGAAGGACGGUUUUGCUGUCACUUAUAGAUGGAUCCGCGCCGCAUUAGCUAGUUGGUAAGGUAACGGCUUACCAAGGCAACGAUGCGUAGCCGACCUGAGAGGGUGAUCGGCCACACUGGAACUGAGACACGGUCCAGACUCCUACGGGAGGCAGCAGUAGGGAAUCUUCCGCAAUGGGCGAAAGCUUGACGGAGCAACGCCGCGUGAGUGAUGAAGGUCUUCGGAUCGUAAAACUCUGUUAUUAGGGAAGAACAAAUGUGUAAGUAACUAUGCGCGUCUUGACGGUACCUAAUCAGAAAGCCACGGCUAACUACGUG